rnacentral:rRNA from 1 species
ACUGGUUGAUCCUGUCCAGUAGUCAUAUGCGUGUCUCAAAUAUUAAGCCAUCAUGUGUAAUUAGAACGAAUUCAGACUGUGAACUGCGAAUGGCUCAUAAAUACGUUAUAGUUUGUUUGAUAGUAACUCUUACUCAUAAUUGGAUAGUAGAAUUCUAGAGCUAAUGACGUGCAACAACCCUGACUUCUGGAAGGGAUGCAUUUAUUAGAUAAAGGUCGACGCGGGCUCUUCCCGUUGCUCGAUGAUUCAUGAUAACUCACGGAUACCGAUGGCCUUAGUGCUGGCGACGUCAUCUAUUCAAAUUUCUGCCUCUAUCAACUUUCGAUGGUAAGGUAGUAGGCUACCCAUGUGUGGUAACGGGUGACGGAGAAUUAGGGUUCGAUUCCGGAGAGGGAGCCUGAGAACGGCUACCACAUCCAGGAAGGCAGCAGGCGGCAAAUUACCCAAUCCUGCACGGGGAGGUAGUGACAAUAAAUACAAUACCGGGCUCUUUUGAGUCGUGUAAUUGGAAUGAGUACAUCUAAAUCCCUUAACGAGAGAUCAUAUGGAGGGCAAGUCUGGUUGCCAGCAGCCGCGGUAAUUCAGACUCCAAUAGCGUUUAUUUACAGUUGUUGCAGUUAAAAGCUCGUAAUUGAUACCUUGUGAUGGGUCGCCCGGUCCGCCUUUGGUGAGCACCGGUCGGCUUGUGUCUUCUGUCGGGCAUACGCUCCUGGCCUUAAUGGACCGGGUCGUGCCUCCGGCGUGCUUACUUUGAAGAAAAUUAGAGUGCUCAACAGAAGCCGCGCUCUGUAUACAUUAUGCAUGGAUAACAUCAUAGGAUUUCGAUCUCUAUUGUUUUUGCCUUCGGGAUCGGAGUAUUGAUUAACAGGGACAGUCGGGGCAUUCGUAUUUCAUAGUUCAGAGGUGAAAUUUCUUGGAUUAAUGAAAGACGAACAACUGCGAAAGAUUUCCAAGGAUGUUUUCAUUAUCAAGAACGAAGUUGGGGCUCGAAGACGAUCGAGAUACCGCCUAGUCUCACCCAUAAACGAUGACCGACCAGGGAUCAGCCGAUGUUGCUUUUAGGACUCCGCUGGCACUUUAUGAGAAAUCAAAGUUUUUUGGGUCCGGGGGGAGUAUGGACGCAAGGCUGAAUCUUAAGGAAUUGACGAAGGGCAGCCCCAGGAGUUGGAUGCCUGUCGGCUUAAUUUGACCCAACACGGGGUUAAACUUACCAGUUCCAGACAUAGUAAGUGAUUGACAGCCUGAGAGCUCUUUCUUGAUUCUAUGGGUGGUGGUGCAUGGCCGUUCUUAGUUGGUGGGACGCGAUUUGUCUGGUAAUUCCGUUAACGGACGAGAGAAGUGCAUGUGUAGACCUGCUAACUAGCUACGUCGAGGCAUUCCUUCACGGCCGUCUUCUUAGAGGGACUAUGGCCGUUUAGGCCAAGGAAGUUUGAGGCAAUAACAGGUCUGUUGUGCCCUUAGAUGUUCUGUGCCGCACGCCGCUACAUCUGAUGUAUUCACGAGUUCCACCUUGGCCGGACAGGCCGCGGGUAAUCUUUGAAUUUCAUGUGAUGGGGAUAGAUCAUUGUGAUUGUUGGUCUUCAACGGUAGAAUUCCUAGUAAGCAGCGGUCAUCAGCUGCGUUGUCUACGCUCCCUGCCUUGUCACACACCGCCCGUCGCUCCUGACCGGUUGAAUGAUCCGGUGAAGUGUUCUGGAUUGGGCGACGUGGGUGGUUGCCGUCUGCGUACAGUCGCGAGAAGUCCACUAAAUGCUUAUCAUUUAGAGGAAGAGAAGUCGUAACAAGGUUUCCGUAGGUGAACCUCGGGAAG